rnacentral:rRNA from 1 species
AUUGAACGCUGGCGGCAGGCCUAACACAUGCAAGUCGAACGGUAGCACAGAGAGCUUGCUCUCGGGUGACGAGUGGCGGACGGGUGAGUAACGUCUGGGAAACUGCCCGAUGGAGGGGGAUAACUACUGGAAACGGUAGCUAAUACCGCAUAACGUCGCAAGACCAAAGUGGGGGACCUUCGGGCCUCACACCAUCGGAUGUGCCCAGAUGGGAUUAGCUAGUAGGUGGGGUAAUGGCUCACCUAGGCGACGAUCCCUAGCUGGUCUGAGAGGAUGACCAGCCAAACUGGAACUGAGAGAAGGUCCAGGCUCCUACGGGAGGCAGCAGUGGGGAAUAUUGCGCAAUGGGCGCAAGCCUGAUGCAGCCAUGCCGCGUGUAUGAAGAAGGCCUUCGGGUUGUAAAGUACUUUCAGCGGGGAGGAAGGCGGUGAAGUUAAUAACUUCACCGAUUGACGUUACCCGCAGAAGAAGCACCGGCUAACUCCGUGCCAGCAGCCGCCGCAG